rnacentral:rRNA from 1 species
GACGUAGGGCGCGAGCGUUGUCCGGAAUUAUUGGGCGUAAAGAGCUCGUAGGCGGUCUGUCGCGUCGGAUGUGAAAAUCCCAGGGCUCAACCCUGGACCUGCAUUCGAUACGGGCAGACUAGAGUUCGGCAGGGAGACUGGAAUUCCUGGUGAUAGCGGUGAAAUGCGCAGAUAUCAGGAGGAACACCGGUGGCCGAAGGCGGGUCUCUGGGCCGAUAACUGACGCUGGAGGAGCGAAAGCGUCGGGAGCGAACAGG